CACGGGGGGAGCAAGGCGUUGUUCGGAAUCACUGGGCGUAAAGGGCGUCUAGGCGGUCAAGUAAGUGGAAUGUGAAAGCCCCCCGGCUCACCCGGGGAUCUGCAUCCCAAACUGCUUGGCUUGAGUACGGGAGAGGAUAGGGGAAUUCCUGGUGUAGCGGUGAAAUGCGUAGAUAUCAGGAGGAACACCGGUGGCGAAGGCGCCUAUCUGGCCCGAUACUGACGCUGAAGCGCGAAAGCUAGGGGAGCAAACGGG
rnacentral:rRNA from 1 species